GGAGUCCCAUGGGAGAGGCACAGGGAGGCACAUUAAGGACUUUAUACUGGAGGUGUGGCUGACACCUCAGAUGUGCACUCCUGACCAACUCGUCUGCCCCAUAGGCUGAUUUUAAUUAGUUUUGUCCUGGACCCUUUCUGCUUCCUGUUUCAAUGAUGUGAGAAACAUAUAGCUAUCAAAAAUGCAAAUAUGAUAUAGUGUAAUAAUUAUUAUUGAAAACACAUAAAAAACAUACCACGAUCUGCAGGGGUGGUGUUGAGCUGCUCAAUGAAGACAUGGCUACAAUCAAUAAAUAAAAAAAUAAAAAAAUUACAAUUCACUCCAAAAUCUAAAUUGUUCCACAGUUUUGAAAACAUUUCUACAUAUCCUAUAUAUAAAAAAAAUGAUCAUCUAAUGGUUAUUAUUUAUAGUACAUGGGCCACAUGCACACGGUGAUGGACCAUGUGAUUGGAGCAUGUGAUCUGACGUCACCACAGGUCAU